rnacentral:rRNA from 1 species
GACGAACGCUGGCGGCGUGCUUAACACAUGCAAGUCGAACGCUGAAGCUCAGCUUUUGUUGGGUGGAUGAGUGGCGAACGGGUGAGUAACACGUGAGUAACCUGCCUCCUUCUUUGGGAUAACGCCCGGAAACGGGUGCUAAUACUGGAUAUUCACUGGUCUUCGCAUGGGGGUUGGUGGAAAGGGUUUUUCUGGUGGGGGAUGGGCUCGCGGCCUAUCAGCUUGUUGGUGGGGUGAUGGCCUACCAAGGCUUUGACGGGUAGCCGGCCUGAGAGGGUGACCGGGCACAUUGGGACUGAGAUACGGCCCAGACUCCUACGGGAGGCAGCAGUGGGGAAUAUUGCACAAUGGGCGCAAGCCUGAUGCAGCGACGCCGCGUGAGGGAUGGAGGCCUUCGGGUUGUGAACCUCUUUCGCUCAUGGUCAAGCCGCAACAAUGGUUGUGGUGAGGGUAGUGGGUAAAGAAGCGCCGGCUAACUACGCG